GAUGAACGCUGGCGGCGUGCUUAACACAUGCAAGUCGAACGGAAAGGCUCCUGCUUGCAGGGGUACUCGAGUGGCGAACGGGUGAGUAACACGUGGGUGAUCUGCCCUGCACUUCGGGAUAAGCCUGGGAAACUGGGUCUAAUACCGGAUAGGACGAUGGUUUGGAUGCCAUUGUGGAAAGUUUUUCGGUGUGGGAUGAGCUCGCGGCCUAUCAGCUUGUUGGUGGGGUAAUGGCCUACCAAGGCGUCGACGGGUAGCCGGCCUGAGAGGGUGUACGGCCACAUUGGGACUGAGAUACGGCCCAGACUCCUACGGGAGGCAGCAGUGGGGAAUAUUGCACAAUGGGCGCAAGCCUGAUGCAGCGACGCCGCGUGGGGGAUGACGGCCUUCGGGUUGUAAACUCCUUUCGCUAGGGACGAAGCGCAAGUGACGGUACCCGGAGAAGAAGCACCGGCUAACUACGUG
rnacentral:rRNA from 1 species